GAUGAACGCUGGCGGCGUGCUUAACACAUGCAAGUCGAACGAUGAAGCCCAGCUUGCUGGGUGGAUUAGUGGCGAACGGGUGAGUAACACGUGAGUAACCUGCCCUUAACUCUGGGAUAAGCCUGGGAAACUGGGUCUAAUACCGGAUAGGAGCGUCCACCGCAUGGUGGGUGUUGGAAAGAUUUAUCGGUUUUGGAUGGACUCGCGGCCUAUCAGCUUGUUGGUGAGGUAAUGGCUCACCAAGGCGACGACGGGUAGCCGGCCUGAGAGGGUGACCGGCCACACUGGGACUGAGACACGGCCCAGACUCCUACGGGAGGCAGCAGUGGGGAAUAUUGCACAAUGGACGAAAGCCUGAUGCAGCGACGCCGCGUGAGGGAUGACGGCCUUCGGGUUGUAAACCUCUUUCAGUAGGGAAGAAGCGAAAGUGACGGUACCUGCAGAAGAAGCACCGGCUAACUACGUG
rnacentral:rRNA from 1 species